UUUCACCACACCAUUGGUGAUGGAGGUGUCGUUGCCAAGGAAACUUUCCUUAGCUUUCCUUGGCGCCGACACCUCUGCCAUCACCAAUGG
rnacentral:pre_miRNA from 1 species